UAGGAAAAUCUAUUUACAUUACUACUCCAAACUUAAGCUACUUAACUAAGCAUUCCAGGAGCUUUUUCAAUGGCUUGCCUAUUUCCUAGUGGAAGGUUGUAACUUGCCUGGCCUAAGGUUUCAGUCAGUAUGAAAUACAUGGGACCAUUGCAUUGUACGAAUGUUUUUCCCCAGUAAGUCACUUGUUUGGAAUGCAGGACUUUGUAACCUUCAGUUAGUAGGACUAAGGUCCAACCAGUAAUCUUUGUAAGUGGUCCUCUUUGCUGUAUUUAAGUUGGCUUAGUGAUAGCAUAGAAUAACCAAAACCUUUCUUCUGCUUCGGUAUAAACGGGCAAAAUUAAAGUUUUUUCCUCCUGGCUGUGCUUCAUGUUUUUGCCAACAGCCAUGAUUCGAGGUCAUCUGAUGAACUCUUGAACACUUG
rnacentral:lncRNA from 1 species